rnacentral:rRNA from 1 species
AUUGAACGCUGGCGGCAGGCCUAACACAUGCAAGUCGAACGGCAGCACAGAAGAGCUUGCUCUUUGGGUGGCGAGUGGCGGACGGGUGAGUAAUGUCUGGGAAGCUGCCCGAUGGAGGGGGAUAACUACUGGAAACGGUAGCUAAUACCGCAUAACGUCGCAAGACCAAAGUGGGGGACCUUCGGGCCUCACACCAUCGGAUGUGCCCAGAUGGGAUUAGCUAGUAGGUGGGGUAAUGGCUCACCUAGGCGACGAUCCCUAGCUGGUCUGAGAGGAUGACCAGCCACACUGGAACUGAGACACGGUCCAGACUCCUACGGGAGGCAGCAGUGGGGAAUAUUGCACAAUGGGCGCAAGCCUGAUGCAGCCAUGCCGCGUGUAUGAAGAAGGCCUUCGGGUUGUAAAGUACUUUCAGCGGGGAGGAAGGCGGUGAGGUUAAUAACCUCGCCGAUUGACGUUACCCGCAGAAGAAGCACCGGCUAACUCCGUGCCAGCCGCCGCUGUAA